rnacentral:rRNA from 1 species
CGGACAGAUGGAGAGCUUAGCUCCCUGAUGAUUAGACGGCGGACGGGUGAGUAACACGUGGGUAACCUGCCUGUAAGACUGGGAUAACUCCGGGAAACCGGGGCUAAUACCGGAUGCUUGUUUGAACCGCAUGGUUCAAACAUAAAAGGUGGCUUCGGCUACCACUUACAGAUGGACCCGCGGCGCAUUAGCUAGUUGGUGAGGUAAUGGCUCACCAAGGCGACGAUGCGUAGCCGACCUGAGAGGGUGAUCGGCCACACUGGGACUGAGACACGGCCCAUACUCCUACGGGAGGCAGCAGUAUGGAAUCUUCCGCAAUGGACGAAAGUCUGAAUUACAACGCCGCGUGGGUGAUGAUGGUCGGCGGA